rnacentral:rRNA from 1 species
UACAGAGGGUGCAAGCGUUGUUCGGAAUUAUUGGGCGUAAAGGGCGCGUAGGCGGUGCGGUAAGUCUGUAGUGAAAUCUCUGGGCUCAACUCAGAGUCUGCUGCAGAAACUGCCGUGCUUGAGUGUGGGAGAGGUGAGUGGAGUUCCCGGUGUAGCGGUGAAAUGCGUAGAUAUCGGGAGGAACACCUGUGGCGAAAGCGGCUCACUGGACCAUUACUGACGCUGAGGCACGAAAGCUAGGGGAGCAAACAGG